UCACAAGCCACUGUGAGCGUCCCGGUGAUGAAUAAGCUUCUGUGUUCCUCCAUGUCUGUCGUCUGUCUCAGCGAUCAGCUGAAUUUGGAUCAACUCACAUGUGGACCAACACUGACAGAAAAGAUGGAUGAACCAGCAGGAUGUUUUUCAGGAUGUAUCACCAGCGCUGGCACGGCGCUAAAACGAAGUGUGGAGCUACACAAACACGCAGAGCAGAGGGCGGCGGACGGGAUGAAGCUGGCUCCUUCCCCUAAGCGCCGUAAAACAAUCAGAAAAUAGACGGAACCUUAAGAUCAUGGCUUACAAAUCCUAUAAACACACAGUUCCUAUAACACACAAUGAUGAUGAUAACCAUAUUCAACAUCUGCCAGGACUCAUGCCGACACGCAGCCAUAUGCUCACAGUGCAUGCUGUUGUUUCAUUCACACAAACACACACACACACACACA